ensembl:lncRNA
GAUAAAUUUAGAGGUUGUCUGCUGAAUGUUCAGGCACCUAGUCUAGAGCCAAGCAGUUUUUGGUAACUCAACUGAAGACAAAUUUCUAGUCUAGAGGCAUUGGGUCCUCAAGAUAAGUAAGACUGAGGUAGGACAAACAUUAUUCUAGAUCAUGUAGACACUACAAGGUUAGGGUGGGGCAACAAACAUACUCCUCCCUGGUCACCCAACCAUGGGAAGGAGGAGCUAAAGUUUAAGAGCAGAAAUGAUUGAAAACCUGUAGUCCUAGGCUCUGGGUUGUAACCAUUAGCCCACCAUAUACAAGAAAACAAUAGAGGAAUUGAGAAAUAAUUCCUGUGAACCAGCAUGGCUAGUGUCUGACAUGGGCUUGUUAUUAAAUAUUGCCAGAUUCAAGAAACACAGAAGCUGGGGCAUCUGAGUUAUAAAAUAGAUUGAGUUCUAUAAAAUCCAGUUUGGGUUUCUUGCACACACCAGAAAUUGCAAGUCUACAUAGUAGAGUAAACACAGUUUCCUCAGAUUCUUAUGUGUCAGCCCCUUCUGAUGCUUUAUGAGUUCUGCAGCACUGCGUCCUCAAGAUAACCUUCAAAAACAAUAGCCAUUGCUUUCUCUGCUAUAGAGAUGAGGAAGGUGGAGUUCACAGAAGAGAAUUAACUGAGCCCCCACUUGGACUCUGGACUCCAGCACCUGCAUUCUCUAUCACAUCAUGAAAAGACUUUUGAUUCUAACAGGACACCUUCCAGAUUGAAAUGGGCAGCCGUGGACCUGCUCUCCGGAUGAGAUACGUUUAAGUGAAGCAUCCAGAGUUCGCACCAGCCAGCUGUAGCUCCAUCACGAGACCACAUUUGGAGGAGGGAAAGGACGCACAGGCUGCUUAAUCACCUGUCAUCGCUUCCUGCCAGAUACAGCUGCGGCUGAUCUGCCUGAGUGCUCCCACCAUUGUCUGCCCCGAACUUACACAGGCAGACAACAAGAAGCCAACUCGGUCUGAGCUACAGCGGACUGGCCCGCGCUGUGCCGAAGCUCAUCCCCAGUGCUCCGGAACACAUUCUCAAGUCUGCAGGACAUCGCCUAUAACUUACAGUAAUGGUCACAGAACAAAAGAGAUUCCAUUAGUGCCUAAUGAACAGGAUUCAGUCAGUCAGUAAAUAGAUAAAUGCACCUAAGCUGUACUUGGGAUAUCAGUGAACAGGAAAGACAAGACCUUCAGGAAAGCGAUUUCACCUUUGGGAGACAUGACCCACUAGUAAUUACAUAAAGAAACAAAGUAUAAAUUUUGAUUCAGGCUUCAGAAAAAGGGUAAAAAGACUUUCCAUCAG